AUACGUAGGGGGCGAGCGUUAUCCGGAAUUAUUGGGCGUAAAGAGUGCGUAGGUGGUUUUGUAAGCGCGGGGUGAAAGGCAAUGGCUCAACCAUUGUAAGCCCUGCGAACUGUGAGACUUGAGUGCAGGAGAGGAAAGUGGAAUUCCUAGUGUAGCGGUGAAAUGCGUAGAUAUUAGGAGGAACACCAGUGGCGAAGGCGACUUUCUGGACUGUAACUGACACUGAGGCACGAAAGCGUGGGGAGCAAACAGGAUUAGAUACCCUGGUAGUCCACGCCGUAAACGAUGAGCACUAGGUGUCGGGGUCGCAAGGCUUCGGUGCCGCAGUUAACGCAUUAAGUGCUCCGCCUGGGGAGUACGCACGCAA
rnacentral:rRNA from 1 species